UGGGGAAUAUUGCGCAAUGGGGGAAACCCUGACGCAGCGACGCCGCGUGAGCGAUGAAGGCUUUAGGGUCGUAAAGCUCUUUUGUAAGGGAAGAAUGUCGUAGUUGCUAAUACCAGCUACGAAUGACGGUACCUUACGAAUAAGCCCCGGCUAACUACGUGCCAGCAGCCGCGGUAAGACGUAGGGGGCGAGCGUUGUCCGGAAUUACUGGGCGUAAAGAGCACGUAGGCGGGUAUUUAAGUCAGGUGUGAAAGACCGCAGCUCAACUGCGGGAUUGCACCUGAAACUGGGUAUCUUGAGGGCAGGAGAGGGCAGUGGAAUUCCAGGUGUAGCGGUGAAAUGCGUAGAAAUCUGGAGGAACACCAGUGGCGAAGGCGACUGUCUGGACUGACCCUGACGCUGAGGUGCGAAAGCGUGGGUAGCAAACAGG
rnacentral:rRNA from 1 species